rnacentral:rRNA from 1 species
GAUCAUGGCUCAGGAUGAACGCUAGCUACAGGCUUAACACAUGCAAGUCGAGGGGCAGCAUUGGAGUAGCAAUACUCAGAUGGCGACCGGCGCACGGGUGAGUAACACGUAUCCAACCUGCCGCUUACUCGGGGAUAGCCUUUCGAAAGAAAGAUUAAUACCCGAUGGUAUAAAGAGUUCGCAUGUUCUCUUUAUUAAAGAAUUUCGGUAAGCGAUGGGGAUGCGUUCCAUUAGAUAGUUGGCGGGGUAACGGCCCACCAAGUCUACGAUGGAUAGGGGUUCUGAGAGGAAGGUCCCCCCACAUUGGAACUGAGACACGGUCCAAACUCCUACGGGAGGCAGCAGUGAGGAAUAUUGGUCAAUGGGCGGAAGCCUGAACCAGCCAAUGCCGCGUGCAGGAUGACGGCCCUACGGGUUGUAAACUGCUUUUCCCCGGGAAGAAUAAGCCCCUCGUGAGGGGUGAUGCCGGUACCGGGGGAAUAAGGAUCGGCUAACUCCGUGCCAGCAGCCGC